UACGUAGGUGGCAAGCGUUGUCCGGAAUUAUUGGGCGUAAAGCGCGCGCAGGUGGUUUCUUAAGUCUGAUGUGAAAGCCCACGGCUCAACCGUGGAGGGUCAUUGGAAACUGGGGAACUUGAGUGCAGAAGAGGAAAGUGGAAUUCCAAGUGUAGCGGUGAAAUGCGUAGAGAUUUGGAGGAACACCAGUGGCGAAGGCGACUUUCUGGUCUGUAACUGACACUGAGGCGCGAAGGCCAGGGGAGCAAACGGGG
rnacentral:rRNA from 1 species